rnacentral:rRNA from 1 species
ACGGGUGAGUAACGCGUGGGUAACCUGCCUCAGUACAGGGGGAUAACAGUUGGAAACGACUGCUAAGACCGCAUAACCCGCUAGUGUCGCAUGACACGGACGGAAAAUAUUUAUAGGUAUGAGAUGGGCCCGCGUCUGAUUAGCUAGUUGGUAAGGUAACGGCUUACCAAGGCGACGAUCAGUAGCCGACUUGAGAGAGUGAUCGGCCACAUUGGGACUGAGACACGGCCCAAACUCCUACGGGAGGCAGCAGUGGGGAAUAUUGGACAAUGGGGGGAAACCCUGAUCCAGCCGACGCCGCGUGAGUGAAGAAGUAUUUCGGUAUGUAAAGCUCUAUCAGCAGGGAAGAUAAUGACAGUACCUGACUAAGAAGCCCCGGCUAACUACGUGCCAGCCGCCGC